GUCGCGCACAGGCAAGUAAAGCUUACUUCCACGCCACAAAAAUAAGGAGGCUAGUGCUGUAAAUUUAACGUAGAGCAACUCAGAUCAUAUUGUGAUAUAUGUGUCUUAAUUGCAGAUCCUGAGCAAGUUUGAGAUAAUUUUUGUAACACCAGAGGAAACCGGAAAAACGCCAGAAAUCGAACUUGGUCUGAAGUGUGUAAACGUGGUUGACACAACUCCAGCAAGUGUUCCAGUAUCAGUGUAGUGAAUGGAUGAACAAAUGAACGUGGCUUUGAAAACCGUAGAAAACAAAGACAAAAUAUCAGCACUUCACUUCAAGGGCUUCAUUUAACCCAGAAAGGCUUUGUCACCAGCCCCCAUGAAUAAUUCAUCCCGUCAGUUUGCGAUCGCAGAUGACAUGAGAAAGACACCAGAAACCCUUCUCAGAUAAACCGCUGGUAACCAGGUCAGUGUGUUCCUGUGUUUACUAAACACUGACAAUCAC